UGUGGCCGAUCACCCUCUCAGGUCGGCUAUGCAUCGUGGCCUUGGUGAGCCGUUACCUCACCAACUAGCUAAUGCACCGCGGGUCCAUCCAUCAGCGACACCCGAAAGCGCCUUUCAAAUCAAAACCAUGCGGUUUUGAUUGUUAUACGGUAUUAGCACCUGUUUCCAAGUGUUAUCCCCUUCUGAUGGGCAGGUUACCCACGUGUUACUCACCCGUUCGCCACUCCUCUUUUUCCGGUGGAGCAAGCUCCGGUGGAAAAAGAAGCGUUCGACUUGCAUGUAUUAGGCACGCCGCCAGCGUUCGUCCUGAGCCAGGAU
rnacentral:rRNA from 1 species